rnacentral:rRNA from 1 species
UACAGAGGUCUCAAGCGUUGUUCGGAUUCAUUGGGCGUAAAGGGUGCGUAGGCGGCGCGGUAAGUCGGGUGUGAAAUCUUGGAGCUUAACUCCGAAACUGCAUUCGAUACUGCCGUGCUUGAGGACUGGAGAGGAGACUGGAAUUUACGGUGUAGCGGUGAAAUGCGUAGAUAUCGUAAGGAAGACCAGUGGCGAAAGGCGGGUCUCUGGACAGUUCCUGACGCUGAGGCACGAAGGCCAGGGGAGCAAACGGG